rnacentral:misc_RNA from 1 species
CACCAGAUGAGCUGCAAACUG